rnacentral:rRNA from 1 species
AUUGAACGCUGGCGGCAGGCCUAACACAUGCAAGUCGAGCGGAGCGGCGGACGGGUGAGUAAUGCCUAGGAAUCUGCCUGGUAGUGGGGGAUAACGUCCGGAAACGGGCGCUAAUACCGCAUACUAUCAGAAGAGCCUAGGUCGGAUUGGCUAGUUGGUGGGGUAAAGGCCUACCAAGGCGACGAUCCGUAACUGGUCUGAGAGGAUGAUCAGUCAAACUGGAAGUGAAACACGUUCCAGACUCCUACGGGAUGCAGCAGUGGGGAAUAUUGGACAAUGGGCGAGAGCCUGAUCCAGCCAUGCCGCAUGUGUGAAGAAGGUCUUCGGAUUGUAAAGCACUUUAAGUUGGGAGGCGUUACCAACAGAAUAAGCACCGGCUAACUGCGUGCCAGCAGCCGCGGUAAUU